GACGAACGCUGGCGGCGGGCUUAACACAUGCAAGUCGAACGGAGCGGCGGGCGGGUGAGUGAUGACUAGGAAUCUGCCUGGUAGUGGGGGAUGACAUACGGAUACGGGCGCUAAUACCGCAUCCUAUCAGAUGAGCCUAGGUCGGAUUAGCUAGUUGGUGGGGUAAAGGCCUACCAAGGCGACGAGCCGUAACUGGUCUGAGAGGAUGAUCAGUCACACUGGAACUGAGACACGGUCCAGACUCCUACGGGAGGCAGCAGUGGGGAAUAGUGGACAAUGGGCGAAAGCCUGAUCCAGCCAUGCCGCGUGUGUGAAGAAGGUCUUCGGAUUGUAAAGCACUUUAAGUUGGGAGGCGUUACCAACAGAAUAAGCACCGGCUAACUUCGUGCCAGCAGCCGCGGUAAUAC
rnacentral:rRNA from 1 species